UACGUAGGGUGCAAGCGUUGUCCGGAAUUAUUGGGCGUAAAGCGCCCGCAGGCGGCUUGCCAAGUUCGAUGUGAAAUCUCCCGGCUCAACUGGGAGGGUGCAUCGAAAACUGGCAGGCUUGAGGCAGGGAGAGGGAUGUGGAAUUCCAGGUGUAGUGGUGAAAUGCGUAGAUAUUGGGAGGAACACCAGUGGCGAAGGCGGCUCACUGGACCGGUACUGACGCUGAUGCGCGAAAGCGUGGGGAGCAAACGGG
rnacentral:rRNA from 1 species